GCGUAUACGGUAAAAUACGGAUACAAGAAGACGGACAUGCAUACGCGUCCAGUCGUUGAUGUGUGGCAAGGACAUGAGCGUGCAUUUUGUCGGUUGCCGGUUUUGUUUUCCUUGGCCAGAAUAACUGUUUGGUUGGAUGAGUUAAGCUAUCGGCUACACAGGCGGCAAUUAAAAACAGAAAAUGAAAGUUUUGCUUCAAUGAUUGCAACGCUGAUUUUAUUUUGAUAGAAAAAGCUAAAGUUUUAAAGACAAAUUCAGAAAAAAAAAAACAAACAAAGUCACAAAACUCACUUGAUAUGCAGUGGAUUGUUGGCUAAGCGGGUUGUGUCACGCGGUUCAGUCUGUCGUUGACUAGCGUUUGUGUUGUGUGCGCAGCCCAGAACGAGUGUCGUGAGUCGUUUAAACGGCUUAUCUGUGCUUACUCGGUAGCACACAAAUAUCCAGCCAGUAAUUUAAGUUGUGUGUUGUUUCAGCUGCUAAAACAAGAAGUUGAAUCCAGGGAAGGAACAUGGAACUUCCUUUCCACUGAAUAUACGAAGGCUCAAAGGCAUGA